rnacentral:rRNA from 1 species
AACGAACGCUGGCGGCAGGCUUAACACAUGCAAGUCGAACGGUUCCUUCGGGAACAGUGGCAGACGGGUGAGUAACGCGUGGGAAUCUACCCAUCUCUGCGGGAUAGCUCCGGGAAACUGGAAUUAAUACCGCAUACGUCCUCCGGGAGAAAGAUUUAUCGGGGAUGGAUGAGCCCGCGUUGGAUUAGCUAGUUGGCGGGGUAAUGGCCCACCAAGGCGACGAUCCAUAGCUGGUCUAAGAGGAUGAUCAGCCACAUUGGGACUGAGACACGGCCCAAACUCCUACGGGAGGCAGCAGUGGGGAAUAUUGGACAAAUGGGCGGCAAGCCUGAUCCAGCCAUGCCGCGUGAGUGAUGAAGGCCCUAGGGUUGUAAAGCUCUUUCAGU